UACAUAAUGUAGGUUUUAUUGUCUAUUUUAUACAAGAAGAGAAACACAUCAACCAAGUAAUUCUAAGACUUGAUCAAAGCCCCAUGCUGGCUAGAGACCCAGCCUCCUUGGAACAUAGAAACAUUAUCACAUCAGGACUGUUCUGUGAAUAAAUAAAAAUCAGCAGCUGGGGUUCGCGGGUUCUGAUCCUGGGCACAGACCUACACCACUCGUCAAGCCAUCCUGUGACAGUGACCCACAUACAAAACAGAGGAAUACCUCAGGGCUAAUCUUCCUCAAGCCAAAGAAAAAAUCUUAUGGAUUGAAUCUUUACAAAAUAUCUUGCAAAUCUUUACUUUGGAUAGAAUCUUUGUAAAAUGUCUUACAAAUCAUUACUUUAGAAAA